rnacentral:misc_RNA from 1 species
AAGUCGUAACAAGGUUUCCGUAGGUGAACCUGCGGAAGGAUCAUUAACAAUCCUAACCGAUUCUUUGGUCCGGUUCUGCCGGUCAAAGUCUUAAACCUCUGUGAAAACAUAACCCAUUUGCUUCGGCAGCUGGUUGGGUCUCCCGUCAGGGUUUCCCCUCCGUCAGCCUGCCGGCGGCACCAAAUUAAACUUGUUAUUUCUACAGUCUGAACAAACAUUUUUGAAUGAAAUCAAAACUUUCAACAACGGAUCUCUUGGUUCUC